CCUACGGGUGGCAGCAGUGAGGAAUAUUGGUCAAUGGGCGCGAGCCUGAACCAGCCAAGUAGCGUGAAGGAUGACUGCCCUACGGGUUGUAAACUUCUUUUAUAUGGGAAUAAAACAGGGUAUGCAUACCCUCUUGUAUGUACCAUAUGAAUAAGGAUCGGCUAACUCCGUGCCAGCAGCCGCGGUAAUACGGAGGAUCCGAGCGUUAUCCGGAUUUAUUGGGUUUAAAGGGAGCGUAGGUGGAUUGUUAAGUCAGUUGUGAAAGUUUGCGGCUCAACCGUAAAAUUGCAGUUGAAACUGGCAGUCUGGAGUACAGUAGAGGUGGGCGGAAUUCGUGGUGUAGCGGUGAAAUGCUUAGAUAUCACGAAGAACUCCGAUUGCGAAGGCAGCUCACUGGACUGCAACUGACACUGAUGCUCGAAAGUGUGGGUAUCAAACAGGAUUAGAUACCCCAGUAGUC
rnacentral:rRNA from 1 species